rnacentral:rRNA from 1 species
AACGAACGCUGGCGGCAUGCCUAACACAUGCAAGUCGAACGAGACCUUCGGGUCUAGUGGCGCACGGGUGCGUAACGCGUGGGAACCUGCCCUUAGGUUCGGAAUAACUCCCCGAAAGGGGUGCUAAUACCGGAUAAUGUCUUCGGACCAAAGAUUUAUCGCCUUUGGAUGGGCCCGCGUUGGAUUAGCUAGUUGGUAGGGUAAAAGCCUACCAAGGCGACGAUCCAUAGCUGGUCUGAGAGGAUGAUCAGCCACACUGGGACUGAGACACGGCCCAGACUCCUACGGGAGGCAGCAGUGGGGAAUAUUGGACAAUGGGCGAAAGCCUGAUCCAGCAAUGCCGCGUGAGUGAUGAAGGCUUAGGGUUGUAAAGCUCUUUUACCCGGGAUGAUAAUGACAGUACCGGGAGAAUAAGCUCCGGCUAACUCCGUG